rnacentral:lncRNA from 1 species
AGGGAGGGGGAAGAGGAGGACAGCCAGGAUAUGACAAUUACUGCAUCGACAUCUCCAUGGAGACGAGCUGGAGAUGUACCCACCCCCAGUAAGGUUACAGUCAUGUCUAAGGAGAGAAGACUCUCAAUUUGUCCUGACCUUAGCUGCAGCCCAGAGACUACCUUCUCACGCUGGAUGUCGGAAAGUGCAUUUUUUUUUUUUGCCUGCACAUUAUACGAAAGGCAAGUGAUCU